rnacentral:tRNA from 3 species
GCUCUCAUAGCUCAAUGGAUAGAGCAAGUCCGUCCUAAGGACGAGAUGUAGGUUCGAUUCCUACUGAGAGCACAA